AGGAUUAUAGUUAAAUAUAACAUUUGAAUUGCAAUCAAAAAGUACUCAUAAAGUUAAUCUUU
rnacentral:tRNA from 1 species